rnacentral:misc_RNA from 1 species
GUAACUCUAGGACUUAUUGAAUUUCUCAAUAACAAACAAUCUGGCGUCGCCUGAAGUCGCGUGGUCGCGUGCUCUUCGAUUUCAACAACUAAAUGGUAGUUAAAACGAUGGAAGAAAGUCGGGAGGCUUCGGUUGCAAGUAGGAAUAUCUCAAAUGGACCGGGUGGCGAGCAGAACCCAGUGCAACUUGAUCAUUGUUAUGCAAAACCAUGGAAUUGGCGGCAAGAAAUGGCCCAUUGCAAACCCGCCCGCAUUCUUUUUGCAGAGGAAAAUUUCCCUGUCUGUGGUGAUGAAGUAAUAGAUGUUGAAGUCCCUCUCAUUCCAAAACAUCACCCAAUAUUGAAUAGAGAGAUGACAGAAAAAAAUUAUAUGGAAUCGGUCCAAAAAUUCAAUCUUCUUUUAACAGAGGAAACCUCUUCUGAUUGGGAAGAAACUGUGAAACGAGAUGGUUGGACACCAUUACAAAACAGGAUUUUUAAUAAGGUGGUAAAGCUGCUUGUUGCAGACAACAUGGCUAGGCUAGCUACAGAACAACUUGAAAAUGAAGCCGUACAAAAGAAAAUUAAUGUUGAAGGAUCAGCCAAGAAAUUAAGAAUUAUUUUGUCAUCAGUGGCAUGGGAUGUUAAAAUUACCCAAUGGCUACACUUGACCCUUAUUGAACACCUCAGCCGGGAUUAUUUGUUGUGUUACAUAAACAUCUUGCAAGUGCUUCAGAGCAGAGUGCCUACGUUGGUUGAAAGAAUAUUGAACACCCCACUGACUAAUAACAAGCUCUCUUCGCUGAACAACCAAAUUUUGAACUUUGUUGUUGGCAAACCUUGGGAACCGGCAUUAAAUCCAAGCACUCUGGCAAAUGCCAAAGGUCCCCCUAUGGCACCAUUAAUCAUUAUGGUACCUUCAGGAACCAACAACUAUAAUUCAUUGUCUAGUCUAAACGGAUCGAGGCGCUUCCAGACGUGGCAUAACCUUCUACAGACUUUAGGAAGAGUUACAACGGUUUCCCUCCAGGCAUCACCUUCGCCGCAUACCCUAUCUUUGCCCGUGCUUGUUGAAUCUAUCAUCAAUGCAACCUUACAGAAAGUACAGGAGUUGAAAGCAAGUUGCCCGAAUCGGCCAAUCGUUCUUGCUGGCCUUCAGCAAGGAGCCUUAAUAGCGGCUCAGGUCGCUUACAUGGAGCCAGUUACUGCGUUACUUUGUUUAGGCUUUCCACUUUUCUGUGUGGAUGGUAAGCGAGGUGAACCGGAUGAUUUCAUUCUGGACAUCAAAUGUCCGACGAUGUUGGUGGUUGGUCAAUCUUCUUCGACAUGCACAGUAGAUGGAAUUGAGCAACUCCGGCACCGAAUGAAAGCGGAAUCUUCCCUCAUAGUAGUAGAUGGUGCUGUGGACUCUUUGCGAAUGCUUAAAUGGAAGAGAAAGCUGCAGAAUGUAACCCAGUCUAUGGUGGAUGCUUGCAUUUUGGAAGAAAUUUCUACAUUUUUUUCAACAGUUUUAACCCAAGCAGCUGCCGCGACUACAGGCAAAAAGAGCCCACCUGAGCGUAAAUCAGAUGGGACGCCCUUAGUCGGAGGAGCAACGAAAAGACCAAGGCAUCCUGUAGACACGGAAGAUUCGAUGCAUGCGGCCUUGAGCGGCCAUAAUUAUUCUCAAAGCACUCCAUUCGCCCCGCCGUGGAAAGGUCGUAGCGGGACUGGGCUUCGCGUGCGAGGCGGCCGAGCAGGGCCUGGACAUUCAAGCAAAAUUCCAUAUCAAAGAGCAACCUCCGAAAUGUCACCGUCCACUCCAAAAGGUCGAAUUGCGCGUUCUGUCAGUACUUACCGUGCGCAGCCCAGCUCCGCUGAAAUUUUACCGGCCCGUGGAUUGGCACAGCGAUCAAACACGUCUAAUCCUUUAGACAACGUGGAAAUUGAUUGCAAGUCAAGCGUUGGCAGUUCUCAAGGGUCACCAAAAGAGGAAGGAACACACCCGCUCAUGGAAUGCAAGGGAGGCGGCGACAGCUCCGAGACUGAAUCGGCACCGCCCGCCGAUGACGAUGACGAGAUUAUGGAAGACCUGCGUUUUUGUAAUGAAUUUAUGAAUAAACAACAGCAGAGCCAAGUGCCUCAAAAAGAAGAGGAAGGAAGCAUGCAAGAAGAUGAUUUCUGCCUCAAAUAUUCCGGUGACGAGGCUGAUGACUUACCUCUAGUCGACGUUUGCCGACGACUCAGUGCAGAAAAUCGAAACCGAAAUCAAAACAGCAAGAACACACCUGCGGCGACGCCGGAGUAGAUUAGCCCUUCGUAUUUAUCACAUGUAUCACUCACCUGCCUCUCUCCGACGGGCAGACGUUUCGAAAUCAAUCCUUCAGAGAAAUUUGUGUCUCGAACGGCGUUGAAAGAGACGAAAAGAGGUAACACAUUAAGGGAGGAUCGUGUCGUGUCAUCGUCGCAAGAAAAAUCUCACCGAAGAUGGCCGACCCAGCUGUAAUAGAUCCCGCUCGGCUGAUGGAAAAAAGUUCUCGACUCUCUCGUGCGCGACCAUUUUACACAGUGGAGAAAAAAAAAAAAACCCAAACAAGAAGUUUGUUUUCUCUUUGAAAACCAAAAGAAAGGAAGAAGAAAAAGAAAAAAGCAGGCAGAAAUGGAUAAGAUACAUACAUUAGUUUUUGGUGAUGCUAGUGAGCAGCUAAUGCAACUUAGUGCUCUCUUUCUCCCAAACGGACGCAAUCAUUGACGGGGUAUGUAUAUUUUUGACCCCCGCACGAGGUUGAUGAGGUGUCACUGUUUUCUCUGGCGCCCAAGCGAACGCUCAUUAGCAAGGGCUAUAUGCAAGCUGUACUUCAGGACUACUAGCUGAUGCUUUCGUCCGUCUUCACCAAACAGUUUUCUUCUUCGUCGGCGCUGUCUCUACUGUCUUUAAACAUUCUAAAAGCCAUAUGUGUCACUCUUGCACCGGAUCCGUUUGCUGUGCCCAGUGUGGCGAACGCUGCAUCCGUCGCCGCUAUAUCUCGGAUAAAGACAAGAAAGAAAGAAUUAAAAAAAACAAAAUCAUCUUCCGUAAUUCAUCUGGGGCUGCCCGUCUAUCGGAACAAUAGGUAGAUGCGGAGUCCGUCUCCAUCGUGAUUGAAGAAAGAGAAAUUUCAGCUGGGAAACUGGACGGGGAAAAAAACGAGAUGGUGCUCCUGCACAUGGUGAUGGCAAUGCGGUCGAUUCGGGUCAGCGGGUGUUCGCCAUGAAAAACGGCCAGGAAAUCCAGCUUCUGUUCCGGAAUUCAAAAAUAAUAAUCAUAAAAGAAGAGAGCUACCAUCAAUAGCUUCUUUAUUCUCACCAUCAAACAUUGCCAUCAG